AGGAAAAAGUAGCAUGUCUAGUUGACAACGAUGCAAGGCUUGCAUUAGAUCCAAAUGACAAGUACAAGAUCCAGACAAAGCCACAUGGGCAUGGAGAUGUUCAUUCUCUUCUUUAUUCAAGUGGAUUACUUGAGCAAUGGAAGAGUACACGACGGAGAUGGGUUCUCUUUUUCCAGGACA